rnacentral:lncRNA from 1 species
AAUUUCUUUCCACGAAAAGAAAGGAAAUGUUUCAUUCUACAAAGUAAAAAGCUUUUUUUACGAGGUACAAAUAGAAAUACCUCUUUGUUUGAUUUGUUACGAAAUCGACCAUAGAUCAAUUCCCUUUUUAUUUGGGAGUAUUGACUACACCCAAAUUUUGAGCUUCAUGUUACUCUUUCCAAGUGACAUGUCAGGUCCAUGGCAUCCCAAUUGGAUUGACUGGGAUG